rnacentral:rRNA from 1 species
CUGGCUCAGAUUGAACGCUGGCGGCGUGCUUAACACAUGCAAGUCGUACGCGAAAGGGACUUCGGUCCCGAGUAAAGUGGCGCACGGGUGAGUAACACGUGGAUGAUCUGCCUCUAUGAUGGGGAUAACAGUUGGAAACGACUGCUAAUACCGAAUACGCUCAUGAUGAACGUUGUGAGGAAAGGUGGCCUCUGCUUGCAAGCUAUCGCAUAGAGAUGAGUCCGCGUCCCAUUAGCUCGUUGGUGGGGUAACGGCCUACCAAGGCAACGAUGGGUAGCCGAUCUGAGAGGAUGAUCGGCCACACUGGAACUGAAACACGGUCCAGACUCCUACGGGAGGCAGCAGUGGGGAAUAUUGCGCAAUGGGCGAAAGCCUGACGCAGCGACGCCGCGUGAGGGAUGAAGGUCUUCGGAUCGUAAACCUCUGUCAGAAGGGAAGAAACUGGGGUGUUCUAAUCAGCAUCCCACUGACGGUACCUUCAAAGGAAGCACCGGCUAACUCCGUGCCAGCAGCCGCGGUAAUACGGAGGGUGCAAGCGUUAAUCGGAAUCACUGGGCGUAAAGCGCACGUAGGCUGUUAUGUAAGUCAGGGGUGAAAGCCCACGGCUCAACCGUGGAACUGCCCUUGAUACUGCACGACUCGAAUCCGGGAGAGGGUGGCGGAAUUCCAGGUGUAGGAGUGAAAUCCGUAGAUAUCUGGAGGAACAUCAGUGGCGAAGGCGGCCACCUGGACCGGUAUGACGC